rnacentral:rRNA from 1 species
GAGUGGCGAACGGGUGAGUAACACGUGGGUAACCUGCCCAGAAGUAGGGGAUAACACCUGGAAACAGAUGCUAAUACCGUAUAACAGAGAAAACCGCAUGGUUUUCUUUUAAAAGAUGGCUCUGCUAUCACUUCUGGAUGGACCCGCGGCGUAUUAGCUAGUUGGUGAGGUAAAGGCUCACCAAGGCAGUGAUACGUAGCCGACCUGAGAGGGUAAUCGGCCACAUUGGGACUGAGACACGGCCCAGACUCCUACGGGAGGCAGCAGUAGGGAAUCUUCCACAAUGGACGCAAGUCUGAUGGAGCAACGCCGCGUGAGUGAAGAAGGAUUUCGGCUCGUAAAGCUCUGUUGUUAAAGAAGAACGUGGGUAAGAGUAACUGUUUACCCAGUGACGGUAUUUAACCAGAAAGCCACGGCUAACUACGUGCCAGCAGCCGCGGUAAUACGUAGGUGGCAAGCGUUAUCCGGAUUUAUUGGGCGUAAAGCGAGCGCAGGCGGUCUUUUAAGUCUAAUGUGAAAGCCUUCGGCUCAACCGAAGAAGUGCAUUGGAAACUGGGAGACUUGAGUGCAGAAGAGGACAGUGGAACUCCAUGUGUAGCGGUGAAAUGCGUAGAUAUAUGGAAGAACACCAGUGGCGAAGGCGGCUGUCUGGUCUGCAACUGACGCUGAGGCUCGAAAGCAUGGGUAGCGAACAGGAUUAGAUACCCUGGUAGUCCAUGCCGUAAACGAUGAUUACUAAGUGUUGGAGGGUUUCCGCCCUUCAGUGCUGCAGCUAACGCAUUAAGUAAUCCGCCUGGGGAGUACGACCGCAAGGUUGAAACUCAAAAGAAUUGACGGGGGCCCGCACAAGCGGUGGAGCAUGUGGUUUAAUUCGAAGCUACGCGAAGAACCUUACCAGGUCUUGACAUCUUCUGACAGUCUAAGAGAUUAGAGGUUCCCUUCGGGGACAGAAUGACAGGUGGUGCAUGGUUGUCGUCAGCUCGUGUCGUGAGAUGUUGGGUUAAGUCCCGCAACGAGCGCAACCCUUAUUACUAGUUGCCAGCAUUAAGUUGGGCACUCUAGUGAGACUGCCGGUGACAAACCGGAGGAAGGUGGGGACGACGUCAAAUCAUCAUGCCCCUUAUGACCUGGGCUACACACGUGCUACAAUGGAUGGUACAACGAGUCGCGAGACCGCGAGGUUAAGCUAAUCUCUUAAAACCAUUCUCAGUUCGGACUGUAGGCUGCAACUCGCCUACACGAAGUCGGAAUCGCUAGUAAUCGCGGAUCAGCAUGCCGCGGUGAAUACGUUCCCGGGCCUUGUACACACCGCCCGUCACACCAUGAGAGUUUGUAACACCCAAAGCCGGU